UACUCGCUCCCUAUUGGUCGGUUUUACAGUUUCUAGAAUUUUCGUUUCACACAUGGAUCUCAUUGGUCGUUUCUCGCACAAGGUAGAUAUUUCUGGACGUCUAUUCGUUUAAUAUAAAAGGUGAGCGAGUGGCGCGCGAAUUCAGAAUUAUUUGAAACACGAUACAGAGCGAACAAGCAGUCCGGAGUUUCCAAGCGAAACGAAGCGAAGUGACGUUUAGUUGAAGUUUGCAAAAUUGGUUACAAAAGGUUUGCUAU